GAUCGGAGAGAGCAACAGGGAUUGCCUCAGUAACGGCGAGUGAAGCGGCAAUAGCUCAAAUUUGAAAUCUGCUCUUUUGAGCCGAAUUGUAAUUUGUAGAGGAUGCUUCGGCUUACGUGCGGUCUAAGUUCCUUGGAACAGGACGUCACAGAGGGUGAGAAUCCCGUAUGUGGCCGUAACUUCUGCCAUGUGAAGCUCCUUCGACGAGUCGAGUUGUUUGGGAAUGCAGCUCUAAAUGGGAGGUAUAUUUCUUCUAAAGCUAAAUACCGGCCAGAGACCGAUAGCGCACAAGUAGAGUGAUCGAAAGAUGAAAAGCACUUUGGAAAGAGAGUUAAAAAGUACGUGAAAUUGUUGAAAGGGAAGCGCUUGCGACCAGACUUGCCUGCAGAUGUUCCGCCGGUCCUUCGGCCGGUUUAUUCUUCUGCAGUCAGGCCAGCAUCAGUUCGAGUAGCCAGAUAAAGGCUUUGGGAAUGUGGCUCUCUUCGGGGAGUGUUAUAGCCCUUUGUGUAAUAUGGUUCACUUGGACUGAGGACCGCGCUUCGGCUAGGAUGCUGGCGUAAUGGUCGUAAGCGGCCCGUCUUGAAACACGGACCAAGGAGUCUAACAUCUAUGCGAGUGUUUGGGUGUCAAACCCGUGCGCGAAAUGAAAGUGAACGGAGGUGGGAACCCUUUGGGUGCACCAUCGACCGAUCCUGAUGUCUUCGGAUGGAUUUGAGUAAGAGCAUAGCUGUUGGGACCCGAAAGGUGAGCAUUAUAUCCUUGAUUAUUUGAAAGUUGAACAAUGAAAGCUAACUUAUUUUCUUUAGAUGGUGAACUAUGCCUGAAUAGGGUGAAGCCAGAGGAAACUCUGGUGGAGGCUCGCAGCGGUUCUGACGUGCAAAUCGAUCGUCAAAUUUGGGUAUAGGGGCGAAAGUAAGUUGAUACUCUUUGAGAAUCAAAAAUAAUGGAGGAUAUGUUGGCUAACAGUUAUUUCUUUAGGACUAAUCGAACCAUUAAAAAAGUUGCUACUAGGUGGUUAAGAGGCAGCUAAAGUGCUAGCUAGUCCCUACAAUCGGGGCGACACGUCAAAUUGCGGGGACUUUCCUUAGAGCUGACUACGCGCUCUUUGAAAAGGGGGUGCAGCACCAGUUAUGAACUCGGAUGUAAAACGUUCAGGAAUGUAUCCGCCAGCAAGUUCUAAUUGGCACACAUUUUGA
rnacentral:rRNA from 1 species